rnacentral:lncRNA from 13 species
GCACACCCUCUCUGGUGUCUCCCAUGGGCCAAAAGCCUGUAUUCCCUUGGCCACAAUAUGUUCAGUUCAACCCAACUUUGACACAGGAUGUGGCAGCUGUUGUGGUUCUUUGUAUGUGCUGAGUGCCGUGUCUGAAUUAUACAGGGAUAACUGAGUCUUUUUUCUUCUCGGCUCCUUUCUGCCCAGUGUAAGGAAUACCAGCUGCUGUCUUUCUCUCCGGUUCCCAUGGCAGCCACACUGUGUUGCAGAGAGGACAGUGUUGUGGGUGAUUUGUGGCACGUGUAUAGAUUUUAAUUUCUGACUCCUCCCAAGAUGGGAACCUGCAAUCAGAUGAGCCAGGAAUCUGCAGGAGUCUGUGGAGAAGGAAGCCACCCAGGAGUCCUGGGAUGAAGAUGAUUCGACUCUCUCAAUUCCUCCUGGCACAUUUACCUUCAAUGAGCUUUACAGGACCAACUUGCACUCAUUAGAGGAACAGCAGGUCAACUUGGCUCAUGACACAGACAGUGAGUACUCUGUUGUGAAAGUGGUAAAGCUCCACUUUGUGUCCCAGAUAGACCCCAUAGUCUUUGUGCAUUGCUCCCCUGGCCGCGCUGAGAGUUGUCAUCACUGUGGGCUGAGCCUAUCCAUCAGUGCAGAUUUCAAUCACUCCGGAUUCCAGUCUGAAGCAUGGGCAUGGGGUGGUUCAGUGAGCUUUGCUCUCUCUCUAGUCUCAGUCCAUGCCCGUGGCACCCUGGACCAACUGUCAGGACGUUGAAACCCAAGGCGGCUGUUGCAAACUCACACCAAGCUAUGCAGCACAUGCCCACGAGUUG